rnacentral:rRNA from 1 species
GAUGAACGCUGGCGGCGUGCCUAAUACAUGCAAGUCGAGCGAACGGACGAGAAGCUUGCUUCUUUGAUGUUAGCGGCGGACGGGUGAGUAACACGUGGAUAAUCUACCUAUAAGACUGGUAUAACUUCGGGAAACCGGAGCUAAUACCGGAGAAUAUUUUGAACCGCAUGGUUCAAAAGUGAAAGACGGUCUUGCUGUCACUUAUAGAUGGAUCCGCGCUGCAUUAGCUAGUUGGUAAGGUAACGGCUUACCAAGGCAACUAUGCAUAGCCGACGUGAGGGGGUGGUCGCCCACACUGGAAGGUAGCCGCGGUCCAGACUACUAAGGGAGGCACCAGUCGCGAACGUUACGCAAUGGUCGGGAGCCUGGCGCAACAACGCCGAGCGAGUGAUAACAGUGUUCGGAUCGUAAAACCCUGUUAUGAGUGAAGAACAUAUGUGUAAGUAACUGUAGACAUCUUGACGGUACCUAGUCAGAAAGCCCCGGCUAACUACGUG